rnacentral:rRNA from 1 species
AGUGAACGCUGGCGGUAGGCCUAACACAUGCAAGUCGAACGGCAGCACAGUAAGAGCUUGCUCUUACGGGUGGCGAGUGGCGGACGGGUGAGGAAUACAUCGGAAUCUACUUUUUCGUGGGGGAUAACGUAGGGAAACUUACGCUAAUACCGCAUACGACCUACGGGUGAAAGCAGGGGAUCUUCGGACCUUGCGCGAUUGAAUGAGCCGAUGUCGGAUUAGCUAGUUGGCGGGGUAAAGGCCCACCAAGGCGACGAUCCGUAGCUGGUCUGAGAGGAUGAUCAGCCACACUGGAACUGAGACACGGUCCAGACUCCUACGGGAGGCAGCAGUGGGGAAUAUUGGACAAUGGGCGCAAGCCUGAUCCAGCCAUACCGCGUGGGUGAAGAAGGCCUUCGGGUUGUAAAGCCCUUUUGUUGGGAAAGAGAAGCAGCAGGUUAAUACCCCGCUGUUCUGACGGUACCAAAAGAAUAAGCACCGGCUAACUUCGUG